UACGGGGGGAGCAAGCGUUGUCCGGAUUCAUUGGGCGUAAAGAGCGUGUAGGCGGCCAGGUAGGUCGGUUGUGAAAACUGGAGGCUCAACCUUCAGACGUCGACCGAAACCAUCUGGCUAGAGUCCGGGAGAGGAGAGUGGAAUUCCUGGUGUAGCGGUGAAAUGCGCAGAUAUCAGGAAGAACACCCGUGGCGAAAGCGGCUCUCUGGAACGGUACUGACGCUGAGGAGCGAAAGCGUGGGGAGCAAACAGG
rnacentral:rRNA from 1 species